UGCCCGGAUGUUCUUUUUCUUACUUACUUGUCUUACUCUUAUUUCGAGACAAUUGUAUUAUGAGACUUUUUCAUCUUCAGACUUGUAGUAUUUAGUUAUUAGUGCUCUUGUAUGACCAAACUAGAUACUGGGGUGGUUUAUGAUUACUUCCGCAUUUAUUAUAUAUUCAAA